rnacentral:rRNA from 1 species
GACGGAGGGUGCAAGCGUUGUUCGGAAUUACUGGGCGUAAAGAGCGCGCAGGCGGUCGUUCAAGUCGCGUGUGAAAGCCCCCGGCUCAACUGGGGAGGGUCACGCGAUACUGAUCGACUCGAAGGCAGGAGAGGGAAGUGGAAUUCCCGGUGUAGUGGUGAAAUGCGUAGAUAUCGGGAGGAACACCAGUGGCGAAGGCGACUUCCUGGCCUGUUCUUGACGCUGAGGCGCGAAAGCUAGGGGAGCAAACGGG